UGCACUCUAGGGGGGAAAGGGCGAGAGGGUCACAGACCGGGGGCUGUCCUGGGGGGACCAGGGACUGUAAGCUCUCCCCGGGGCCCUGGGAAGCACAGAGGUGGCUGCCACAUGGGGUGGUGUCCAGGGGGGGACACCCCAGUAGUGCCACCUGCACAGGGACUGUGACCACCUGCAGGCCACGUGAGUACCAGGACCGGGAGCGACUUCCGGACCUCCCAGCCCCAGUCUGGAACCCUAAGGGAGAUGAAAGACCACCAGGGAUCCCUGUCUGCCUGGUGCUUGGGACACGGGGAGCGCCAGAGACUUCCACUGUGCCCAGCAGGCCGGCGGGUGCUUUGGGUGUGGGCAGCAUGGAGGGGCAGCAGAGGCAGCACUGGCGUGCGUGCUUUGAACUUGAUUUUGUGUUUAUCACGGAAUUUGUGUGUGUGUGUUAAUUUUUUCUUUUUCUUUUUUUUUUUUUUUUUUUUUUUUGAGAUGGAGUCUCACUCUGUCACCCAGGCUGGAGUGCAGUGGUAUGAUCUCAGCUCACAACCUCCACCUCCCAGGUUCAAGCGAUUCUCCUGCCCCUGCCUCCCGAGUAGCUGGGACUACAGGCGCCCGCCACCACGCCCGGGUAAUUUUUGUAUUUCUCAUAGAGAUGGGGUUUCACCAUCUUCGUCAGGCUGGUCUUGAACUCCUGACCUCAAGUGAUCCAGCCGCCUCGGCCUCCCAAAGUGCUGCGAUUACAGGCGGGAGCCACGCACCCGGCCUAUUUUUUCUCUUUUUUCUUUUUUUUUGAGACAGAAUCUCGCUCUGCAGUGCUGUGGUGCGAUCUCAGCUCACUGCAACCUCUGCCUCCCGGAUUCAAACGAUUCUCCUCUCUUAGCCUCCCGAGAGGAUUGCUUGAGCCCAGGAGGUCGAGGCUGCAAUGAGCCGUGAUCGCACCACUGCCCUCCAGCCUGGGCAGUAGAGAGAGACUCUCUCUCCAAAAAAAAAAAAAAAAAAAAAAACAUACAUCUACGACCUCACCCCCAGAACCUAUGACGAUAACCUUAUUUGGAAUGAGGGUGGAUCUGUCUGCUGGGACUGCCAUAAAAAAGUCCCACAGCCUGGUGGCUUCAGAAAAAAGGAAUUUGGCCGGGCACGGUGGCUCACGCCUGUAAUUCCCGCACUUUGGGAGGCCAGGGCGGGCGGAUCACCUGAGGUCGGGAGUAUGAGACCAGCCUGGCCAACAUGGCCAGAAAGCCCGUCUCUCCUGUAGAUCUGUGACCUUACCCCCAACCCUGUGCUCUCUGAAACAUGUGCCGUAUCCACUCAGGGUUGAAUGGAUUAAGGGCGGUGCAAGAUGUGCUUUGUUAAACAGAUGCUUGAAGGCAGCAUGCUCGUUAAGAGCCAUCACCACUCCCUAAUCUCAAGUACCCAGGGACACAAACACUGCGGAAGGCCGCAGGGUCCUCUGCCUAGGAAAACCAGAGAACUUUGUUCACUUGUUUAUCUGCUGACCUUCCCUCCACUAUUGUCCUGUAACCCUGCCAAAUCCCCCUCUGCAAGAAACACCCAAGAAUGAUCAAUAAAAAAAUAAAAAUUAAAAAAAAAAAAAGAAAAUUUUAUAAAGAAAAAAAAAAAAUACAAACAUUAGCCGGGCGUGGUGGCGGGCGCCUGUCAUCCCAGCUACUCAGGAGGCUGAGGCAGGAGAAUGGCCUGAACCUGGGAGGCGGAGGUUGCAGUGCGCCAAGAUCACGCCACUGCACUCCAGCCUGGCGACAGAGUGAGACUCCAUCUCAGAAAAAGAGGGAAAAAAAAAAAAAAGAAAGAAAAAAGGAAUUGAUUCUCCCACAGUCCUGGAAGCUGCAGGUCCAAGAUCAAGAGAUGGGCAUGGGCAGGGGCUGGUUCCUCCUGAGGCCUCUCUCCUGGGCUUGCAGACCCCGUCUUCUCCCUGUGUGCUCACAGGGUCGCCCUCUGUGUGUGUCUGUGUCCUCAUCUCCUCUUUUUAUGAGAUGUCUUAGUCCAUCUCAGGCUGCUAUCACAGAAUACCAUAGACUGGGUGACUUAUAAACAACAGACAUUGAUUCUCCCACAGCCCUGGAGGCUGGAAGUCUGAGAUCCAGUUGUGGACAGGGCUGGUUCCUCCUGAGGCCUCUCUCCUGGGCUUGGAGACGCCGUCUUCUCCCUGCAGCCUCACAGGGUUGUCCCUCCAUGUGUGUCUGUGUCCUCAUCUCCUUUUUAUGAGAUGUCUUAGUCCAUUUCAGGCUGCUAUCACAGAAUACCACAGACUAGGCAGCUUAUAAACAAAACACACUGAUUCUCCCACAGCCCUGGAGGCUGGAAGUCUGAGAUCCAGGUGUGGACAGGGCUGGUUCCUCCUGAGGCCUCUCUCCUGGGCUUGGAGACACCGUCUUCUCCCUGUGUCUUCACAGGGUUGUCCCUCCAUGUGUGUCUGUGUCCUCAUCUCCUUUUUAUGAGAUGUCUUAGUCCAUUUCAGGCUGCUAUCACAGAAUACCACAGACUAGGCAGCUUAUAAACAAAACACACUGAUUCUCCCACAGCCCUGGAGGCUGGAAGUCUGAGAUCCAGGUAUGGGCAGGGCUGGUUCUUCCUGAGGCCUCUCUCCUGGGCUUGGAGACGCCGUCUUCUCCCUGCAGCCUCACAGGGUCGUCCCUCUGUGUGUCUGUGUCCUCAUGUCUUCUGAGGACCCCAGUCCUGUUAGAUUAUGGCCCACCCUACUGACCUCAUUUUACCUUAAUUGCCUCUUUAAACACCCCAACUCCAAACACAGUGACAUUCUGAGGUCCUGGGCGAUCAAAGCUUCAACACACGAAUUUUCAGGGAACACAAUUCAAGCGAUUCUCCUGCCUCAGCCUCCCUGGUAGCUGGGGUUACAGGCUUAAGCCACAGCACCCGACCUAAUUUUUGUAUUUUUAGUAGAGACAGGGUUUUUCUACGUUGGCCAGGCUGAUCUCGAACUCCUGACCUCAGGUGAUAUACCCACCUCAGCCUCCCAAUGUGCUGGGAUGACAGGCGUGAGCCACCGUGCCGGGCCAGAAGUUCUACUCUGAGGCGAUCCUUUUGUUUUGUUGUUGAGAUGGAGUCUCGCUCUGUCGCCCAGGCUGGAGUGCACUGGCGCGAUCUGGGCUCACUGCAAGCUCCGCCUCCCGGGUUCACGCCAUUCUCCCGCCUCAGCCUCCCGAGUAGCUGGGACUACAGGCGGCCAUCACCACGCCUGGCUAAUUUGUUACAUUUUUUGUAGAGACGGGGUUUCACCGUGUUAGCCGGGAUGGUCUCGAUCUCCUGACCUUGUGAUCCUCCCGCCUCGGUCUUUAUUACAAGGCCCAGGGGGUGUCUGUCAGUGGGACGACCUUGUUUCCCCUCCACGUCUCCUCUCGUGAGUAAGAGCAAGGAUUGAGUAGCUGGAAGGAGGUUCUGUCUCUGACCUGUGGUUUGAAAGAAAAUAAAGAAGAGGGGCCAGAUGGAGUCUCACUCUGUCGCCCAAGCUGCAGUGCAAUGGCACGAUCUCAACUCACUGCAACCUCCGCCUCCCGGGUUCAAGCGAUUCUCCUGCCUCAGCCUCCCGAGUAGCUGGGAUUACAGGCGCCCGCCACCACCACAUCUGGGUGCUGUGAUUACAGGCGUGAGCCACCGCGCCCAGCGACUCUCUCAUUCUGUCUUGCCCGCUGACGUGUAAGACAUGCCUUUGCUCCUCCUUCACCUUCUGCCGUGAUCGUGAGGCCUCCCCAGCCACAUGGAACUAUACUUCAAAUUACUUCUAUGCAUUUGGAGAGCGGGAGAGAAAAACACCAGGAAGGAAGAGGGAACAAAGAAACUCUACAGGCAGAGACACAGGACUGAGCCGUGUUGGGGGCACUGGGGGGAGUGAGCCUUGGGGUUGCACCCUCGGAGCCCCACUGUCCUGGGAGCAGCCUUCAGAACCACCCUUUUGUUCUCUGAAGUACCAGGCGUUCAGCUUUUCCGAGGACUGGCGGCUGCACGUCUUUGUCCCUGCCCCCUCCAUCUCUCGGCUCAGCCCCGUUGGGCAGCCUGGCCCACUCCCCACCCCUGCCCAGGGCCAACCCCUACUUCCCAUGCCUCCUCUGCCCACCUGCAGCGCACUGGAGCCUUGGAGGCCCUCUCUGCGUCAUUCAAGAUGGGCCCCCCCGCCCCGGAGACUCCUACACUUUGACCUGCACACAUCCUCCUGAAGCUUCCACUUCCUGGCCCCUGCCUGGCUUCUCACCUCCCCCACCUCAGCCCCCCAGGGGAUGUCCCGCCUCUCCCAGUGGCCCAGGACAUCCUCCACUUCCCGGGAACCCCAGGCACUUCCACAUCCUCAGACACAGUGAGAAGAUGACCCUCUCUCCAAGCCAGGCAGAGACCUCCUGAGGAGCCCAGCCAGCCAGCACCCUGACCUCCAACGUCCAGCCUCUAGAAAUGUGAGAGGCCAACGUCUGUGUUGGGAGCCACGUGGUCCCGUGGGAUCUGGCCUGACGCUAAAGCCGUGGUAUCACAGAACUGAGGGUGGGAGGGAGUGUCCUGGGCUACUCACCAAUCUG